GAGGGUAUAGCUCAGUGAUAGAGUGCAUGCUUAGCACUCACGAGGUCCUGGGUUCAAUCCCCAGUACCUCCA
rnacentral:tRNA from 1 species